GUUUGAUCAUGGCUCAGGAUGAACGCUGGCGGCGUGCUUAACACAUGCAAGUCGAACGAACCUUCGGGUUAGUGGCGGACGGGUGAGUAACGCGUGAGAAUCUGCCCUCAGGAGGGGGAUAACGGCUGGAAACGGCCGCUAAUACCCCAUAUGCCGAGAGGUGAAACGAAUUUCGCCUGAGGAUGAGCUCGCGUCUGAUUAGCUAGUUGGUGGGGUAAGAGCCUACCAAGGCAUCGAUCAGUAGCUGGUCUGAGAGGAUGAUCAGCCACACUGGGACUGAGACACGGCCCAGACUCCUACGGGAGGCAGCAGUGGGGAAUUUUCCGCAAUGGGCGCAAGCCUGACGGAGCAACGCCGCGUGAGGGAUGAAGGCCUCUGGGCUGUAAACCUCUUUUAUCAAGGAAGAAGAUCUGACGGUACUUGAUGAAUAAGCCACGGCUAAUUCCGUGCCAGCAGCCGCGGUAAUACGGGAGUGGCAAGCGUUAUCCGGAAUUAUUGGGCGUAAAGCGUCCGCAGGCGGUCUUGUAAGUCUGUCGUUAAAGCGUGGAGCUUAACUCCAUUUGAGCGAUGGAAACUGUAAGACUAGAGUGUGGUAGGGGCAGAGGGAAUUCCCGGUGUAGCGGUGAAAUGCGUAGAUAUCGGGAAGAACACCAGUGGCGAAGGCGCUCUGCUGGGCCAUAACUGACGCUCAUGGACGAAAGCCAGGGGAGCGAAAGGGAUUAGAUACCCCUGUAGUCCUGGCCGUAAACGAUGAACACUAGGUGUCGGGGGAAUCGACCCCCUCGGUGUCGUAGCCAACGCGUUAAGUGUUCCGCCUGGGGAGUACGCACGCAAGUGUGAAACUCAAAGGAAUUGACGGGGGCCCGCACAAGCGGUGGAGUAUGUGGUUUAAUUCGAUGCAACGCGAAGAACCUUACCAGGGUUUGACAUCCUGCGAAUCUCUUGGAAACGAGAGAGUGCCUUCGGGAACGCAGUGACAGGUGGUGCAUGGCUGUCGUCAGCUCGUGUCGUGAGAUGUUGGGUUAAGUCCCGCAACGAGCGCAACCCACGUCGUUAGUUGCCAGCAUUCAGUUGGGCACUCUAGCGAGACCGCCGGUGAUAAACCGGAGGAAGGUGUGGAUGACGUCAAGUCAUCAUGCCCCUUACAUCCUGGGCUACACACGUACUACAAUGCUACGGACAAAGGGCAGCAAACUCGCGAGAGCUAGCAAAUCCCAUAAACCGUGGCUCAGUUCAGAUCGUAGGCUGCAACUCGCCUACGUGAAGGAGGAAUCGCUAGUAAUCGCAGGUCAGCAUACUGCGGUGAAUACGUUCCCGGGCCUUGUACACACCGCCCGUCACACCAUGGAAGUUGGCCACGCCCGAAGCCGUUACUCCAACCCUCGUGGAGGAGGAUGUCGAAGGUGGGGCUGAUGACUGGGGUGAAGUCGUAACAAGGUAACCGUAG
rnacentral:rRNA from 1 species